rnacentral:rRNA from 1 species
GUAGGUGGCAAGCGUUGUCCGGAAUUAUUGGGCGUAAAGCGCGCGCAGGCGGUCCUUUAAGUCUGAUGUGAAAGCCCACGGCUCAACCGUGGAGGGUCAUUGGAAACUGGGGGACUUGAGUGCAGAAGAGGAGAGUGGAAUUCCACGUGUAGCGGUGAAAUGCGUAGAGAUGUGGAGGAACACCAGUGGCGAAGGCGACUCUCUGGUCUGUAACUGACGCUGAGGCGCGAAAGCGUGGGGGGAGCGAACAGGAUUAGAUACCCUGGUAGUCCACGCCGUAAACGAUGAGUGCUAAGUGUUAGAGGGUUUCCCGCCUUUAGUGCUGCAGCUAACGCAUUAAGCACUCCGCCUGGGGAGUACGGUCGCAAGACUG